GUAGGUGAACCUGCGGAAGGAUCAUUAAAGAGUCAUUAUGGGCUUACACCCUAAUACUCCACCCUUUGUUUACAUUACCUUUGUUGCUUUGGCAGGCCCGUCCUUGUGACCACUGGCUUCGGCUGGUCCGCGCCUGCCAGAGAACCUAAAACUCUUGUUUAAUCAUAUUGUCUGAGUACUAUAUAAUAGUUAAAACUUUCAACAACGGAUCUCUUGGUUCUGGCAUCGAUGAAGAACGCAGCAUCUGACU
rnacentral:misc_RNA from 1 species